rnacentral:rRNA from 1 species
GACGAACGCUGGCGGCGUGCCUAAUACAUGCAAGUCGAACGCACAGUUUAUACCGUAGCUUGCUACACCAUAGACUGUGAGUUGCGAACGGGUGAGUAACGCGUAGGUAACCUGCCUGGUAGCGGGGGAUAACUAUUGGAAACGAUAGCUAAUACCGCAUAAUAUUAAUUAUUGCAUGAUAAUUGAUUGAAAGAUGCAACUGCAUCACUACCAGAUGGACCUGCGUUGUAUUGGCUAGUAGGUGAGGUAACGGCUCACCUAGGCGACGAUACAUAGCCGACCUGGGAGGGUGGUCGGCCACAAUGGGAAUGAGACACGGCCCAGACCUCUACGGGAGGCAGCAGGAGGGAAUCUUCGGCAAUGGACGAAAGUCUGACCGAGCAACGCCGCGUGGGUGAAGAAGGGUGUCGGAUCGUAAAGCUCGGUUGUAAGAGAAGAACGGGUGUGAGAGUGGAAAGUUCACACUGUGACGGUAUCUUACCAGAAAGGGACGGCUAACUACGUG